rnacentral:rRNA from 1 species
UACAGAGGGUGCAAGCGUUGUUCGGAAUUACUGGGCGUAAAGCGCACGUAGGCGGAUUUGUAAGUCAGGGGUGAAAUCCCGGGGCUCAACCUCGGAACUGCCUUUGAUACUGCAAAUCUCGAGUCCGAUAGAGGUGGGUGGAAUUCCUAGUGUAGAGGUGAAAUUCGUAGAUAUUAGGAAGAACACCUAUGGCGAAGGCAGCACUCUGGGACGGUACUGACGCUGAGACGCGAAAGCGUGGGGAGCGAACAGG